rnacentral:lncRNA from 1 species
GGCACUGUAAUGUGUUUAAAAAUAAUAAUAAAUUGUGAUGUGGAAUUUAAUAUAGUCAGGUUAAAUUAAAAAUUGAAUUAGGGGUAAAUUGCGGUGGGUAAUUAAGUAACCCAAGGUCAUCAACACCAGUAGCCACCACCAUCAACCUAUGGCCGCCGCAGUCAUCAACACUGCAGAGACCACCCAUGGCAAGCCAUCAUCAUCGAAAACCUGGAAGAGGCAGCACCCAUUCUCACGAGCCAACAAUCUCCAGAUCCAUCUUCUUCACGCCUUCGCCGCCGCAGGAACUGCCAUCACAGCGCCUCAACCAUGCACCGUCGCUGCUGGAGCAGGGAACACCACGCAAAGGUCGACUUCUUCAAUGCGUCAGUAACGCCAUACCUCCAUCAUCAAUCCCGCACCAUCUUCAUCUCCACCUGAAAAUAAAAAAAAAAAAUCCUAGACGGUAGAGAAACCCGUACCUACAAAGACUCCAUUAAUUCGAAGCUUCUCGCUCCAGACCACUAUUUUCUUCGUCCAUCAUCUCGCACCUGCAAGCAAACCAGAAUCACAUAAACAUCACGGUCUCGCCACAACCAUUGUUGUCGCGCCGUCAUACCACACAGAAACGCAGAAGCAGAGAGAAAAACUCAGAAAAACCAGAUGCACAGAGGGCAAGCUUGAACCAAUUCGAAAAGAAGAAGAGUAGCGCCUCCAGGAAGCGAAGUCCCUCUCCCAUUCUCGCGGCGCAGGAGGUAGAAUGAAGUCUUCUAGAUCUGUUUACCC